rnacentral:rRNA from 1 species
CAAUGGGAGCAAGCCUGAUCCAGCCAUUCCGCGUGAGUGAAGAAGGCCUUCGGGUUGUAAAGCUCUUUCGCAAGGGAAGAAAACUUACUCAAUAACACUGGGUGAGGCUGACGGUACCUUGAUAAGAAGCACCGGCUAACUACGUGCCAGCAGCCGCGGUAAUACGUAGGGUGCGAGCGUUAAUCGGAAUUACUGGGCGUAAAGCGUGCGCAGGCGGUUUUGUAAGUCAGAUGUGAAAGCCCCGGGCUCAACCUGGGAACUGCGUUUGAAACUACAAGGCUAGAGUGUAGCAGAGGGGGGUAGAAUUCCACGUGUAGCAGUGAAAUGCGUAGAGAUGUGGAGGAAUACCAAUGGCGAAGGCAGCCCCCUGGGUUAACACUGACGCUCAUGCACGAAAGCGUGGGGAGCAAACAGGAUUAGAUACCCUGGUAGUCCACGCCCUAAACGAUGUCUACUAGUUGUUGGGAGAGUAAAAUCUCUUAGUAACGCAGCUAACGCGUGAAGUAGACCGCCUGGGGAGUACGGUCGCAAGAUUAAAACUCAAAGGAAUUGACG